rnacentral:snoRNA from 1 species
CCGAUUGUACUUGAACGGGAUCUGUUCUAUAGGAUCGUACCUCUGUAUCCCUAAGCAAUAAGGAGACAGGCUCUAUUUUAUUUUAAAUG